rnacentral:lncRNA from 1 species
GUCAAUGUGGAGGCUAUAUACAGGGUGUUACGGUACAGAGUCAAUGUGGAGGCUAUAUACAGGGGGUACCGGUACAGAGUCAAUGUGGAGGCUAUAUACAGGGUGUUACGGUACAGAGUCAAUGUGGAGACUAUAUACAGGGUGUUACGGUACAGAGUCAAUGUGGAGGCUAUAUACAGGGUGUUACGGUACAGAGUCAAUGUGGAGGCUAUAUACAGGGGGUACCGGUACAGAGUCAAUGUGGAGGCUAUAUACAGGGGGUACCGGUACAGAGUCAAUGUGGAGGCUAUAUACAAGGGGUACCGGUACAGAGUCAAUGUGGAGGCUAUAUACAGGGUGUUACGGUACAGAGUCAAUGUGGAGGCUAUAUACAG